rnacentral:rRNA from 1 species
GACGAACGCUGGCGGCGCGCUUAACACAUGCAAGUCGAGCGAGAACCAGGGGCUUCGGCUCUGGGGGACAGCGGCGAACGGGUGAGUAACACGUGAGUAAUCUGCCCUCGACACUGGGAUAGCCCGGGGAAACCCGGAUUAAUACCGGAUAGCCUUUCGAGCUCUCGGGCUCGUCAGAAAAGGNUGGCUUCGGGCUUUCGGUUGAGGAUGAGCUUGCGGCGGAUUAGCUUGUUGGUGAGGAACGGCUCACCAAGGCGACAAUCCGUAGCUGGUCUGAGAGGACGGAUCAGCCACACUGGGACUGAGACACGGCCCAGACUCCUACGGGAGGC